CCUACGGGAGGCAGCAGUGGGGAAUAUUGCACAAUGGGGGAAACCCUGAUGCAGCAACGCCGCGUGAAGGAAGACGGUUUUCGGAUCGUAAACUUCUGUUCUUAGUGAAGAAUAAUGACGGUAGCUAAAGAGCAAGACACGGCAAACUACUUGCCAGCAGCCGAGGUAAUACGUAGGUGGCAAGCGUUGUCCGGAAUUACUGGGUGGAAAGGGAGCGCAGGCGGGUAGCCAAGUCAGCUGUGAAAACUACGGGCUUAACUUGAAGACUGCAGUUGAAACUGGUUUUCUGGAGUGAAGUAGAGGUAGGCGGAAUUCCGGGGGUAGCGGUGAAAUGCGUAGAUAUUCGGAGGAACACCGGGGGCGAAGGCGGCCAACUGGGCUUUAACUGACGCUGGGGCUCGAAAGUGUGGGGAGCAAACAGGAUUAGAUACCCUGUAGUC
rnacentral:rRNA from 1 species